UGAGUCCGGGAAGGAGUGCCCUCUAGAGGCUGAAGGCACUCUCACAGGUGAUCGUGACAUUAAUAAUCAAUAUCUAACCUGACGAAAAAAUAUUAAAUGUUAUCCACAUCAUAUUUCAUCUGCAACAGCAUUGUGUACUUUUAUAAUGAUGCGUUUGAUCAUUAACUUUUAAGAGCAUCAUUAUGCCAACAUGAGGAGAGUUCUCCGCAUGAAAGACCCAUGACUGGCAGAUCAACGUGCGGCUACAUUUCUCUCCGAAAUGGUAGGAAAUUAAAUUUAAUUGAAUGUGGAGGAUUUUAACUGUGACAAGAUGAUUGACAGGGCAGUUUAAACGGUUACAGUUUCUGUCUGUUCGAGACGCAAUUAUGACAAAGUAUAUGUCCCAAAGCUUGCUUAUUUUUCUGCUACACACUCAAAAGUAUGUCCUUUUUCUUCACAAAAACAGUACAUACUUUUAGGGCAUAAAAGUAGGUGAAUUGGCACAAUUGAGAAACAAACUAAAAGUAACCUAAAAGGUAAUGGCCAUUAAUUAAUUCAUCAGUCUUCUUCAUUCAUCAAUUCAUCAGUUAUUCUCAUCAAUCUUCUCAGAAAGCCCCCCUGAGCUUGUGUGUGACUCAGAAAGCCCUCCUAUCUAUGACUGCUGGCAGUGCUGGCUGAUACUUCAAACAGUGUGUCCCGCGUCUUCUCUUCUGUCUGCCAUUUUGGCUUUUGUUUGUGGCUACAGCUGCUGCCACAAGACAGUGCUGAAGGACUCGGAAGGUCAACAAAGCAGCUCUGAGAUGCAAAGACAGUUGAGCCAAGAAGAGGAUGUCCAUAAAGAAGUUUGUUAUGCAUCACUGAACAUCCCCAAACGAGGAAACCAACGGACAAAGAGCAACCGAUUACCAAAUUCUGACUUCAGUGUGUACAACAGUGUAAAAAUGCAUACUUAGGUGAAGGAUAAUUUACAGUCAGCUGGACAUACAAUCAACUCCAGAAUUAUUGGCACUCUUAUUAAAUAUGAUCAAACAGGGCUUUGAAAUUAAAUCUUCAUUGUUGAUCCUUUUGAUAUGUCA